AAUUGAAACAAGACACGAUAUGUGUGCCACUAGCAAAGAGGGUUUCUACUAUGAUGCAUUUUAUGGAGAUUUUGGCUUGAAUGAUGAACACUUUAAG